rnacentral:lncRNA from 1 species
UUAUGGCGAUUGAUUUUCAUUGGUUAUAUUACUGUAUGAUAUCAUUAUAGCUUGAGUCUCCAUGAUGUUUUUUGGUGCAUUUUCAUCAUUAGUAACUUGUCAACUGAUCCGGAAGGGAUUGUUUUAAUUGCCUUCCACAUCUUUUUGUAAUUUUCUUGUUUUCUUUGAACUUUGCAUGGAUUUUUAUCUUUGCUCUAUUUUCAGUGGUUGGCAUAUACAUCUGAUUAAGGAAUGAGUCCUGCAUUAGUAAUGAAUCAUUUUCUGCCUGUUAAUAUAUAAUCCAUUUCAUAUUUUUGCCCAGUGUUUUUGGGUGUGUACCAUAUCCAGCAUCCAUAAAUGGUCAUCCUGAAGAUCUUCCUGACCCACAGACUUCUGUACAUGUCUUUGGCUCCUUUUAAUCCUUAAAAAUAAACAUGCACACAAAUACAUAUAUAUCUAUAUUUUUUUUCUAAUGUGAUUCUCACCCUUCUUCCCUGAUGCCUGGUGUCACAGAGUUUCAAAGUGCAUGAGCAUUUAUGCUAGAGAGUUCUUUGUGUAAUGUUUCUACCUUACCAUUCCCCAAAACCGAUGAUGACAUUUAAGCUGCAAUUAUUUUCAUGGUGGUCUUUUUGCAAAUACUUAUCAUUAGCAUUGCAGAAUGAGAUAUACAAAUGACCCAUGAAAUGAUGUUUCUCGUUGCUUUUAGAGACAUGAUAAAAACAGCUCUGCCAACUCCUUUAUUUGACUCUCCAAGGAAAGCUGUUAAGCCAUCUUCCAUUUAGAUGCCACUUUUUUCCUUUCUUCUGGCUUCAUUUGUACCAAGAAUGUCAAGAUGGAAGCAAUUCAGUUCUCCCAGCUGUAAGGCCACUUUCUGGUCUCAUUUUUACCUCUUCCUUUGAGAAUACCAAUGGUCAUCCAAAUCCAAUGACAAGAGGAAAGUCAGGACAACUAGUGGUGGUCGAGGAUGCUGUGGAUGACGUUGGCAUCUCUGAGAUUUGGCCCAGCUCCAUCUCCACAGCACCUGCUUGAGCCACCUUCAAGGCCAUUGGAACAAAUUGUUCUCAUCUGCCCAUUUCAUUG